GAACAAUAUGUGUAUGACUACUACACUGUGAAGGAUGACUCUGAUGUAGACGAGGAUAUGGCCUCAAAUCCAUUACCACUGGUGCAGGUGGAUGAUGAGGAUUUCUAUGAUGUGCCAUAUGAGUCGGAAUAUGAUAGUGAAGAUUCAAAUGGUAACAUUUAGAGUCUAGUCUCUGUCACCAAAUUCUGGGGAUGUUGGUAUGACUUGUAUAUUCUUUUUGGUGUUUGCAGCUGAAGAUAAUCCAAGAAAUGAUUAUCCCGAUGAAACAUCCGAUGAGGAUGAAGAGGAGGAGGAAGAGGAUGAAGAUGAAGAUGAAGAUGAGGAGAAGAUGAAGAGGAAGAUGAAGAA